rnacentral:ncRNA from 1 species
GUUAUGUAAUACUAAUGUACAUAUAAACUCUUAGAGAAAUUAAAUAAUAAACGAAGGCGAAUUGAAAUAUCUUAGUAGCUUCAGGAAAAGAAAUCAAACGAGAUUCUACGAUUAGUGUGAAUGAAAGUAGAGUAGCCUAUAUACUAAAUAUAGUAUAUUAAUAAGUAAAAUGGACACAAAUCUGUUUAAAUAUUAAGGGGAACCUUCCUCUAAGGCUAAAUAUAAUACAUAAGCGACAGUGAAAAAGUACCGUGAGGGAAC